rnacentral:rRNA from 1 species
UACAUAGGGGGCAAGCGUUGUUCGGAAUUACUGGGCGUAAAGGGCGCGUAGGCGGCCGCCUAAGUCAGACGUGAAAUCCCUCGGCUCAACCGGGGAACUGCGUCUGAUACUGGGUGGCUUGAAUCCGGGAGAGGGAUGCGGAAUUCCAGGUGUAGCGGUGAAAUGCGUAGAUAUCUGGAGGAACACCGGUGGCGAAGGCGGCAUCCUGGACCGGCAUUGACGCUGAGGCGCGAAAGCCAGGGGAGCAAACGGG